AUUGUCACACAUAGACUUUCACUAAUGUAUUUUUCCUCAAAGGCAACUAGAUAUUCAUGUUACUAUUGCUUUUCCUUAGAAACAGAAGUCUCCGGAUCAUAAUUACAGGCUUUGAGCAAAGGCAACAGUAGUGAAGAAACCCAGAGCUCUGUAAACAUUACUGAAGAACCAUGCCAAAUAUAUGCAUAAAUUCAGAUCCUUCAGGAAUUCAUAGAUGAGGGUGCUCUACAUGUAUGAAGUUAUUUAAUACUUUUAACAACUUUAUGAGAAUGCUGAAAGAAUGAAAUGGACGCAUGUCAGCCCAAAGACAUAAAGCAGAAAGAAACCACUUCAUGUCCAGAAGCAUGUCCUAGAAGACAACUGCUAAAGAGAAGGGAGCAGUAAAAGAAAAAAAAAAGAAGGAAAAAAAGUCUUCAAAGCAAAUGAAAAGAAACAGACAGUUCUUCAAAAUAAGAGAGGAAAUUGGAAAAAGAACAUUUGGGGAAGAAAAAAGCAUGUGGAAUUUCUCUAAACAGAAGUGACACAGUGGACUUCAGUGACCACUAACCAACAUGGAUUACAGCGUGAACAUGCAGUACAGAAACCACAAGUUGUCAAACCUGCAAAUCAUAAUUUGGUCAGUAAGAAUCUAGGAUCCUGAAGAAGACGUGAAGAUAAAUGACUUUAAAAUUGAAGAACGAGCAAUCAUUACCUCUGUUAUUUUGAACCAAAAAGGUCUCACUCUAUGCAAUGUUAGUGCAAAAGAUGAAAAUCGGUGAGUUCAACAAUAUUUUUAUUGGAAUAAAUUUUCAUGUGGAAUGUCGAUUUAUUUUUGAGUAUGCAGUCUUGCCAAAUCGAAAACUCUCAUAUAUAGUUCUUUUAAAUUUGAUCUCUUGGCAUGUCAAGAAUUCUCAUAUUACUUUUAAAAUAAGAUCUCUACCUAAUACUGGAAGCAUUUAUCUCAAAUUCAGUAUUUAAAUUACUACUUUGAAUGACUGCUGAAAUUAAUCUAAUAUCAAGUUUAUAUACCUUUAUAAUUUUUUUAUUUUGACAACAUAGUUUCAUAAGCUAUGAUUAGUUCAGGGAUUUUGUGGGCGUAACGUACAAGAUAAGCAGGUUGAAAAGUUUUUUGACUUAUCAAAGCCACAUUUUGAGAAGUAAGGAAAUGCAGCUUUCUUGACUCGCAUCUCCAUAAUUAUUUGCACAAUUUUCUGAACUGUUUGACAAGUUCUCAUUUGUCUUUAAAAUAAAAGGACUAUAGGGAGAACACCCUCAGACCUUCGAGGUGUUUUAAAAAUCUUUCAUGAAUAAACACUACUUCAGCCAGAGGGGAAAAAUUGACACCUUUUGAAUUUUUAGAUCAUAUUAUAAUGCUACUACUCCAAAUUCAACGAAAUUUUGGCUCUAAGGGACAUUUUGACAUCAUUCUUACACUCUCUGAAUUAACAUUUAAAUAUUUAUGCAAUGUUUCAGUGUAGAAGAGGAACUGUAAGACUUCCCUGAAUGAGAGGUUAAGCAAAGGUUAUGAUGUUACAAAUUAGAACUAAAUAGGACACUGAUACUGAGAAACUGGGAUCCUGUUAGUUAGACUAAUAAUGAAUCAAGUCAAUGAGACAAAAGGUCCCUCAAGGUGAGGUUUGCUAAAGUCUGAAUAUAAAUGGCCAUAUUAUUAUUAAUGCAUCCAUUCCUGAAAAUGCUAUAAUACUAGUUUAUGACACAGAAAAGAUAGAAUAUGAGUCACUAUGAAAGUGUGAAUAAAAAGGAAUUAUUCAUGCCUCUCAAUUUAAACAAAGUUUAAUAAAGGGGUAAAGAAUUUGCCUA